rnacentral:rRNA from 1 species
CCUACGGGUGGCAGCAGUAGGGAAUAUUGCUCAAUGGGGGAAACCCUGAAGCAGCAACGCCGCGUGGAGGAUGAAGGUUUUAGGAUUGUAAACUCCUUUUGUUAGAGAAGAUAAUGACGGUAUCUAACGAAUAAGCACCGGCUAACGCCGUGCCAGCAGCCGCGGUAAUACGGAGGGUGCAAGCGUUACUCGGAAUCACUGGGCGUAAAGGGCGCGUAGGCGGGAUAGCAAGUCAGGUGGGAAAUUCUAUGGCUUAACCAUAGAAGUGGAGUUGAAACUGGUAUUCUAGAGUAUGGGAGAGGUAGGUGGAAUGCGUGGUGUAGGGGUAAAAUGCGUAGAGAUCAAGAAGAAU